GCAAGUCCCAACCAUCCGCCCAGGAAGCGCCGCCACCCGGGCUCAGGGGGGGCGGAGGGAGGCGAGGCGGGGGGCCACCGCCGAGGGGGGGGUUCUUGCCCCCACUUUGCACCUCACACUCCUUUCCCCGCCCUGGGGCACGGGCACAAACUCUGCCUAAAGCCGACCAGGCCGAGCUGUUGAGGAAUGCUGGGGUUUGGCGUCAGAAGUGAUGGGACCAGAGAGAAGGGUGUGAAGGAGACCCCAGUAGGGACAGGGUAUUGCAGGUAAAGAAGGGGAAGAGGAGGCCGAGAAGUCAAGGGCGAGGCUGUGAAGGAGAUAAAGGAGGUCAAAGAGAGGUCAUAUCUUCGUACCUCACUUCCUGACACAAACAAGUUUUCACUGUUGUCAGCAACAAAGCCCUAAUAUAGCUGCGGAAGAGAAAAACUGCAUCGCAUUUUGCCUCCUGCAAGCAUCAUCCACAGUUACCAGAGGAAUGUAAUUCCAGAAAGCUUUAAAGCUGGUGGUGAUGGUAAUUAUGUAUCAGAUGCCUGAUUCUAUUUCUGUUAUUAUUGUUUUGUCAUUUCUGUUCUUCAACCCAAGAGCCGGCUAAACUUACGCAGGUACAAAUCCGGCUUUUCUUUUUGAUUUGGUAACAUUUAAUCAGAUCUAAUAGAGAACUCAGUGCUCUUGUGGAAAAUAAAGUCGGAGCCACGAAAUGUCAUUUUAGCAGAGCGUGGGUUUUGUGACUGUAGAAAAGGAUUUGAGGACGCUCCUUCUGUUCGGUUUCCUAUGUAACGAGCGAAGGCUGCACGCACGCACAGACGCCACAGCUCCCGGAUGCCCUGGCUGCCGGAUCGGGACCUCGGCGGCGCCAGCAGCAGCUCCGGGAUGCUGCGAGGGGCUCGCGGUGGGCGGCGGUACAAACGCCGCGUCCUCCGCCGCCAGUCCUGCUGCUGUUGUUGCCGCUGCUGCUGCAGUCACGUGGGAGUCCCUUUAAGUUUCCAUAGAGAAGCCUCUCCGGUGUCACAUGAUGGACAUGAUAUAAUGAAACAACGUUGUGGAGAGGAAAGCAUUAGGGGAGCCCACGGCUACGAAAACAAGUGAGUGAGAAGAGGUGGGAGGAAGAGAAACUACGCCACCUCCCCUGCAGCCGAGCCGCUCGCAGCAGCAGCCCGCGAGAAGGGGGCGACGCCACGGGAGGGGGGCGCUGGGGGAGCGGGUCCUCAGCCCCGGCCCGGGGACCCCGGCGCCCUCCGCGGAGAGAACAACUUUUAGCCGGCAGCCUCGGCCGGCACUGCACCUGUCUCCGGAGGCGUCCUCGCUCCCGGCGAUAACCAAAGGGAAAUUCUAGAAGAACAUGCUCUACAAAUGUACAUGCGCAUCGUUUUCCCUCUUGCGUUUCGCUCUGGAGGCAGGAAAGAGAAAGGGAUUUAAGCGGCAGCGUAUGUUCAGCCCCAAAGUUGGGGAAAUGGAAGCUCCCGAAGUUAAAAUUGGUCAAUGACGAUCUCUGACUAGUACCCAGUUUCUGGCCUCUUAGUCCUCUUUGAACGCUCUCAAAACACCUUCGGUGUGAACCUUUCUGGUGGGGGAGACAAGCCCGCAAACCAAAAACAGACUAUCGAAUGUGUUCCAUAAAUGACCGCCAUUGCCCUCAAAACUGAACCAAAACACAACCGUAAGAAGACAAAACCCACCACUGCUAACAGCAACAAAAGUUAACCUGACAACCAAACAACAAAAAAAAAAAGCCUGUGAGGUUUGAAUUACUGCUUUUGUAGAGAGGUCAGUAAUGUGACGUCUCUUUUUAGAUAUUAAAUGUAAAUUACUCAUGACAAAUUUAUACCUGCCUACCUGACUUUAUAGCAGUGAUAGAAGAAUCCAUACUGCAGUAUAAAUCUAUUCGGCCUAGAAGAUCUUACUGGACUGCUUGGGUUUCGAUAUAUGAUUUAAGAAUCAUUUUGAAAGUGUGUUGGGAACUUUCUAGUGACCCUGGUCACUAACUUGACAAAAGAAUUGAAGGAAGUUACUGGCUUCAUAUCUUUUUUUCAGUGG